rnacentral:lncRNA from 1 species
AGGCUUUUAACGAUUUUCUUAAUUUAUAGUCGUUUUUAAAAAUUCAAAAUAUGAAAUAUAUGGAAAAAUCUAAAAUUUUAUUAUAUGGUUAAUAUGAUUGUUUAAUUUAUUCUAAUAAUAUAACUAUAAAAUAAUAUAAGAUAUGUAAAUUGUUAUCAAAUCUUUAUUAUUAAAAUCAUUAAUUGUCAAAUAUAUAUUUUAUUCACUUUUGGUAAUUUCGUAGUUUUUUUUUGUCAUCAGCAUAAACAGACUCCUAAGACUCUGCAAACCAAACCGGUAACUCUGCAUCCAUGUGAACGACAAAAGACG